GGAAUUUUAAGGAAAUGCGUGACUGUCGGACUCUUAAUCCGUAGGUCGAGUGUUCGAGUCACUCACGCCCCACCA
rnacentral:tRNA from 3 species